AUGGCAAAAUCCUUCAAAUGUUCUCUUUUUGCAGAUGGUAUUCUUACUACAUCAAGUUCUAGAAUUCUAAAAAGAAUGCUAGAUUAAUUCCACAACCAUCCAAACAGAAAAAAAACCCCCAGUGGAUGAAGAGUAUCUGUUGUUGAGAUUACAGCAACCUCACUAGUGGGCAUGUAUGUAUGUAGACACUGCAGAAGGACAAUGACCCUGGCACAGAAUGAACAGGAGAAAGAGGAAGAUAAUGCUGAUUAUAACUAAAAGAAGAGAAUACUACAAGUCCCUAGAAGAACUUCCGAAAUGCGCAAUAAGGUAUAUUUAAUAAGAACUCUAACCUAACAAACACUUGCCACAGUACUAAGAGGGAUAGAUGAGAAAAAUUUCCAAGUUCUGAAACAGAUUUUACUCUUAAUUGGAACUUGUAUACUGGCUUAACAAAUUAAAGGAAAAAACAACA